GUCAGUUGCUGCCGUAGAGCCACCCAGGAGGGCAGGAUGCAGUAAGUCUGAAAUAUGAAUAUGAUCUGAUAUUACUGAAUGAAGCUGAUGAAGUGUCGUGUCCCACUCCUCCGCUGACGGCCGGGUCAGGGAAAUCCGAAUCAGGCUUGCCUCUGCAGCUCUGCCCAAAGUCCUAGCAAAGUCCUCAGAGCAGGCAGAAGACCAGUAAGUGACUUCA